rnacentral:rRNA from 1 species
GAUGAACGCUAGCGGGAGGCCUAACACAUGCAAGCCGAGCGGGAUUUGUUGGUUAGCUUGCUAACUAACAAUGAGAGCGGCGUACGGGUGCGUAGCACGUGUGCAACCUGCCUUUAUCUGGGGGAUAGCCUUUCGAAAGGAAGAUUAAUACCCCAUAACAUAUUGAUUGGCAUCAGUUAAUAUUGAAAGCUCCGGCGGAUAGAGAUGGGCACGCGUAAGAUUAGCUAGUUGGUGAGGUAACGGCUCACCAAGGCUGCGAUCUUUAGGGGGCCUGAGAGGGUGAUCCCCCACACUGGUACUGAGACACGGACCAGACUCCUACGGGAGGCAGCAGUGAGGAAUAUUGGACAAUGGGUGAGAGCCUGAUCCAGCCAUCCCGCGUGAAGGACUAAGGACCUAUGGUUUGUAAACUUCUUUUAUACAGGGAUAAACCUACUCUCGUGAGGGUAGCUGAAGGUACUGUAUGAAUAAACACCGGCUAACUCCGU